GCCUCGGCUGCGCCUACCUUCGUGGCCGCUAUCGGUACUGCGGGAUUGCUGCGUGUAGCGCAGGUUGCCGCAGAUAACUCUUGUGGGGCCGGCAACCCAAGGGUAGCCUGGCCUGGUUGCUGGUUGGAUGGAGUAGGCUUACCUACUUCCACCCUGGGGGCAGGAGCCAAAGGUACCUGCUCGCUGCACGCGGGCUGGGUACUUGGCAUUGGCCGCUGCGACGCUGCCCCCCGGCGCGCUGCAUCAGCAUAAGGUGUGUUGUGGAAAGUUCGGACAAGAGCGUGAGUAGGCUGGAUGGUCACCACUGCAGUUCACACAGUGAGGUGUGCCACUGCAGUUGUCGGAGGGGUGGCCCUGGACUCCACACUUUGCACAAGUUGUUUGACCACGGCAGCUCUGCGAGCCAUGGCCGAACCUCUGACAUUGGAAACACCGUCUAGGGUUGGGGAUAAAUGGUCGAACAUUUAACCUGAUGUAUCCUGUUUCGAUGGUUUCUGGCAGUACGCUGGAUGAAAAUGUUAGGAUAAGAUGUUUAGUGGGGAUUUCCUUGUUGUCUCGUCUAAUUUUAAUACGUUUUACGUCAGUAACAUUUUGUUCUUUCCACCCUUCCAGGAGUUCAGUUUCUGUCAAGUCUAGGAGGUCUGCCUCUGACACGACUCCCCGUGAGCUGUUCAUUGUUCGGUGUUGUGAAAUAGAAAUUGGUAUGUUACCAAAUGUCACAAGACUGCCAAGCUUCUCGUACUGAUGUUUCUGAGGGAUCUCAAGAAGAAGGUCACCGCUAGCCAUUUUCGUUACCUUAUAACCUGACCCUAAGGCUUCGGUCAAAGAUUUUGCUACUGUGAAUGGAGAAAUAAAUCUAGCUUGUUUUUCAGGA